rnacentral:rRNA from 1 species
UACGAAGGGGGCUAGCGUUGUUCGGAAUUACUGGGCGUAAAGCGUGCGCAGGCGGCUUCUCAAGUCAGGGGUGAAAGCCCAGAGCUCAACUCUGGAAUUGCCUUGAGACUGAGAGGCUUGAGUGCGGGAGAGGUGAGUAGAAUUCCCAGUGUAGAGGUGAAAUUCGUAGAUAUUGGGAAGAACACCGGUGGCGAAGGCGGCUCACUGGCCCGUAACUGACGCUCAGGCACGACAGCGUGGGGAUCAAACAGG